rnacentral:pre_miRNA from 1 species
GAGAUAAGUUAUGACUGUUUUAAUGAAGAUUGCGCGAGUAAAAUUUCGAGACGAGAUUAUUACAAAAAUUAUGAGUUUUAAGCUUCUAAUUCGAGUUCAAGAAACUCAUAAUUUUCGUAAUAAUCCCGUCCAGAAAUUUUACUCGCGCAAUCUUCACUAAAAUGGUCAUAACUUAAAAA